GGUCCGUUCGUCUAGAGGCUAGGACGCAAGAUUUUCAUUCUUGUAACGGGGGUUCAAUUCCCCCACGGACUG
rnacentral:tRNA from 1 species